rnacentral:rRNA from 1 species
UAAGGAAUAUUGCGCAAUGGGCAAAAGCCUGACGCAGCGACGCCGCGUGGGGGAUGAAGGUCUUCGGAUUGUAAACCCCUUUCGGGAGGGAAGAUGGAAUGGGGUAACCCAUUCGGACGGUACCUCCAGAAGCAGCCACGGCUAACUUCGUGCCAGCAGCCGCGGUAAUACGAAGGUGGCAAGCGUUAUUCGGAUUUACUGGGCGUACAGGGAGCGUAGGCGGUUCGGUAAGCCCUCUGUGAAAUCUUCAGGCUUAACCUGGAAAAGUCGGGGGGGACUGCCGGGCUAGAGGACGGGAGAGGAGCGCGGAAUUCCCGGUGUAGCGGUGAAAUGCGUAAAGAUCGGGAGGAAGGCCGGUGGCGAAGGCGGCGCUCUGGAACGUUUCUGACGCUGAGGCUCGAAAGCGUGGGGAGCAAACAGGAUUAGAUACCCUGGUAGUCCACGCCUUAAACUAUGAAUACUAAGUGUCGGCGGGUUACCGCCGGUGCCGCAGCUAACGCAUUAAGUAUUCCGCCUGGGAAGUACGGCCGCAAGGUUG